GACGAACGCUGGCGGCGUGCUUAACACAUGCAAGUCGAACGGAAAGGCCCUGCUUUUGUGGGGUGCUCGAGUGGCGAACGGGUGAGUAACACGUGAGUAACCUGCCCUUGACUUUGGGAUAACUUCAGGAAACUGGGGCUAAUACCGGAUAGGAGCUCCUGCUGCAUGGUGGGGGUUGGAAAGUUUCGGCGGUUGGGGAUGGACUCGCGGCUUAUCAGCUUGUUGGUGGGGUAGUGGCUUACCAAGGCUUUGACGGGUAGCCGGCCUGAGAGGGUGACCGGCCACAUUGGGACUGAGAUACGGCCCAGACUCCUACGGGAGGCAGCAGUGGGGAAUAUUGCACAAUGGGCGGAAGCCUGAUGCAGCAACGCCGCGUGCGUGAUGACUGCCUUCGGGUUGUAAACCGCUUUCGCCUGUGACGAAGCGUGAGUGACGGUAAUGGGUAAAGAAGCACCGGCUAACUACGUG
rnacentral:rRNA from 1 species